GAUGAACGCUAGCUACAGGCUUAACACAUGCAAGUCGAGGGGCAGCAUGGUCUUAGCUUGCUAAGGCCGAUGGCGACCGGCGCACGGGUGAGUAACACGUAUCCAACCUGCCGUCUACUCUUGGACAGCCUUCUGAAAGGAAGAUUAAUACAAGAUGGCAUCAUGAGUCCGCAUGUUCACAUGAUUAAAGGUAUUCCGGUAGACGAUGGGGAUGCGUUCCAUUAGAUAGUAGGCGGGGUAACGGCCCACCUAGUCUUCGAUGGAUAGGGGUUCUGAGAGGAAGGUCCCCCACAUUGGAACUGAGACACGGUCCAAACGCCUACGGGAGGCAGCAGUGAGGAAUAUUGGUCAAUGGGCGCAGGCCUGAACCAGCCAAGUAGCGUGAAGGAUGACUGCCCUAUGGGUUGUAAACUUCUUUUAUAAAGGAAUAAAGUCGGGUAUGUAUACCCGUUUGCAUGUACUUUAUGAAUAAGGAUCGGCUAACUCCGUG
rnacentral:rRNA from 1 species